ensembl:snRNA U1 U1 spliceosomal RNA
GUACUUACCUGGCAGGAGAGAUACCAUGAUCAUGAAGAUGGUUUUACCUGAGCAAGUCUUAUCCAUUGCCCUCUGGAUGUGCUGAGCCCUGCAAUUUCACCAAAUGUGGGAAACUUGAUUGCAUAAUUUGUGGUAGUGGGGGGUUGCAUUUGCACUUUACCCUG